CAUGUCUCCUAAAGGAGAUAAAGAAGAAACAUGACCAUCCUAACUGAUCAGAGACUCUCCAGAGGGACUGGUCACUGCCACACGGCUCCGCCUCCCACCCCGGGGAAGCAGUCGCGCUCUUGCACCAGAGAGUCAGCAGCCACCCAGGUUCAGCAGUUACUUACCGAAGUUCAGGCAAACCAUGGCAUGUAUCUUGGCUUCAGAAACUCAGAUGGGAAGGAUUCUGAUGUGCGGGCUUCGGGGAGUAAAGACUGAGGACCACUUGCCGCCUCAGAGGCAGCCAGCACGCUGGCGGAGCAGCACUCACCUGCCAGCUGGUGGCCAUGUCCAGAGGAGUGGUUCCCGGUACAACCCCUUCGUCCUCUCCAUCCUCAUCCCAGGAGUCAUCCAGCUCGUACAGAGGCUCGAAGUUCUCCACCAGGGGAUCUGCUCCUGCAGAGCCAAGUCACACAGCAUUAGGAUGAAAGGGUUGAAUCAGAAUAACAGUCUACAUCCUUGAGCAAAGCAGGGAAGAGAAACAUAGAAGAGUCUGGAAGUUCAAGGUGACAAGGUGUGACUCAAGCUCUGCCCCUUACUGGGGCCCGGGAACUGGGAUGCAAAAGUCUCACAAGUCUGUUUCCUUGGCUAUAAAAUGGGAGUAGUAAUGGGAUUUGUCUCAAAAGGUUACUGCAGAUUAAGUAAGAUUAAAUGAGACAGUGUGAACUAUCUAGCCCAACAGAAGCUAGCAAUUUUCAGGGUUUGGUACAUGACAGUACUUACUCACACUGGGCCCAUGUGUUUGUUCCUAUCAUUUUGGCUUCUCAGAGAUCUUUCUUACAAAAGGAAGUCUUUAAAUGCUUUAUUAUACCAAUAAACUUUUCCUUCUG